rnacentral:lncRNA from 1 species
GUUGGGAUACAGAGAGAAAGCCUGUGUGUGCGAACUGUAGGAGAGCAAGAGAGAGUAUACCGAGGAGCAUGCGCAAUUCUCUAUGACCGUGUGUGUGUGAGAGAGACGGAAAGAGAAAGAGAUCAAGAAAGGGAACGCACCGUUCUGUUGCACCACUCCUAGAGAGCCUGGAGACACUCUCACACUGUCUGACUCCUGUUCCAGCUCAGGGCUUCUGCAGGGACACACAUGCACGCAUGAGCACAGAGACACACACCACAGACGUGUCGUCACUGCCACUCCUGGCAGCCGGUGAUAUGUGGGAGUGCUAAGGAGAAGAAGGAGAGGUGGAAGUGGCUAGCGUUAAGCUGAAGCAGGAGGCCCAGCCGUUGCACCUGGCCUCUCACACAGCUCACCAUGUGAAUCGCUGCCGCCUCCUAGAGGAAAAGAACAGAGCUCUUAAACUAGAGCUAGCCACUCUCAGACAGCAGAAACAGCAACACAGAUCUCUGGUAAGUCAGUUUGUGGUGUGUUUUUGUUGCUUAUUUGUUCAGUUUUUGGCAAUAGUCACACUUCUGGAUUUCAGCAUGUUGUCUGAAACUCCUCUUCCCUGGUGAGAAGCUUAAUGAGUGAUCGCAACAGUUGUUUUCUGUAAGGUAAAAUGCACAGGAAGUCUCUGAAUCGUCUACUGUGUUCCAAGUGGUGUGAUGCUGAAGCUGUUGCCCUGGCAACAAGCCCACUGGUGAGGGAGGACAGGUUGGUAAUGGAAAACUGACAGACCAUAAUAAUGGCUUUUGUUAUAAGCCUCAGUUGCAACAGAUCAAUUUUGUCCCGCUGAAUGGAGAUGGGAAGUGAC